AAGCAGCGGAGCGUGUGGUUUAAUUCGAUGUUACACGAAGAACCUUACCAGGGUUUGACAUGCAAGUGGUAGGAAGCCGAAAGGUGACCGACCCUUCGGAGGCACCUGCACAGGUGCUGCAUGGCUGUCGUCAGCUCGUGUCGUGAGAUGUUGGGUUAAGUCCCGCAACGAGCGCAACCCUUAUCCCUAGUUGCCAUCAGGUAAAGCUGGGAACUCUGGGGAGACUGCCGGUGAUAAACCGGAGGAAGGCGGGAUGACGUCAAGUCCUCAUGGCCCUUACAUCCCGGGCUACACACGUGCUACAAUGGCAGGUACAGAGGGCUGCGAAGCCGCGAGGUGGAGCGAAUCCCAGAAAACCUGUCUCAGUCCGGAUUGGAGUCUGCAACUCGACUCCAUGAAGUUGGAAUCGCUAGUAAUCGCAGAUCAGCACGCUGCGGUGAAUACGUUCCCGGGCCUU
rnacentral:rRNA from 1 species